GGUAAUUCUAGAGCUAAUACAUGCAUUAAAAACACGAACCUUCUGGGACGUGUGCUUUUAUUAGGCUAAAACCAAGCGGUCGCAAGAUCGUCAUAUGGUUGAACUCUAGAUAACAUGCAGAUCGUAUGGUCUCGUACCGACGACAGAUCUUUCAAAUGUCUGCCCUAUCAACUUUUGAUGGUAGUAUCUAGGACUACCAUGGUUGCAACGGGUAACGGGGAAUCAGGGUUCGAUUCCGGAGAGGGAGC
rnacentral:rRNA from 1 species